GAGUUUGAUCUUGGCUCAGAACGAACGUUAGCGGCGCGCCUAAGACAUGCAAGUCGAGCGAGAAAGGGAUUCGUCCCCGGUAAAGCGGCGCACGGGUGAGUAACACGUAGGUCAUCGACCCUCGAGUGGUGGAUAACCCUCCGAAAGGAGGGCUAAUACAGCAUGAUGCUAGCAAUAGCCAAAGCGGGCCUCUUCUUGAAAGCUCGCGCUAGAGGACGAGCCUGCGGCCCAUCAGGUAGUUGGCGGAGUAAUAGCCCACCAAGCCAUAGACGGGUAGCUGGUCUGAGAGGAUGAACAGCCACACUGGAACUGAGACACGGUCCAGACUCCUACGGGAGGCAGCAGUCGGGAAUCUUCCGCAAUGGGCGAAAGCCUGACCCAGCAACGCCGCGUGAAGGAUGAAGUAUUUCGGUAUGUAAACUUCGAAAGAAUGGGAAGAAUAAAUGACGGUACCAUUUAUAAGGUCCGGCUAACUACGUGCCAGCCGCCGCCGUAAG
rnacentral:rRNA from 1 species